CGCUGGGAGAGGGCGGACCCUAACGCUUCAGACCGCGCUUAGCAGGCAUUCGUGGAGACUGAUGCUGAGGCAGGGUGACAUUCCGACGGCCUGUUAGAGUUCAAAAAGCGCUUUGUAUACAUAAUGAUUUCAGGGGACUCUCUCCAUAAGCCUCCUUGCUUAGCCGAGUGUCGGUAAGGGCCAGAGAGGAUGCCGGAACUCGGUUCACCUGGCGUUGAGGUUCUUCUGGCCGUUGAGUCACGCCCUUUCUUCCUUUCCUCCAAGAUGCGCCUGCCGCUGGUGGGGCCGUCUUCCCAGAGUCCAAGACCUGAGACAGACAGACGGAUGCAGGCCAGGGCAUCACCAGCACCUGGCAGCAUGUUGCCCAGUGGCCUCCAACCUCGCGAUGACCUGUCUGCACAGCAAAAGGCCACGUACAGCACGACCCCUGCCCUCAGGAAAAGAGCCGUGAAGUGAUGACUGAAUUUCGACUAGAAAAAUUUCAUUCUCUCCUUCCUCCUUGCAACUCUGGGGCCUCUUCUAGACAAAAUCAUUUAUGUGCUCCAAAAAGAAAAAUGUAGAACUCACGGUGAUGUGGAACCUUUGGGGAUUUCUUGGACAAGACCUUCAGAGUCAAAGCUUUCACCAUCCCAGGACAGCUUGCAGAAGAAUUCUCUAGCAGCCUGCUCUGGUUAAACUGGUCAAAUUGCUCGCCCUUGGCUAGAAACCACAGGCACUCAAAAGACCUUCCCUCCCCCACCUGAAGAGCAACAGACCAUCACUCGAUGGAGGCUUAGCACGCUCAUGUGAUGUCUUUUGGCGAUUUUUCAGGCUGAGGAUAAACUCCCGUCAAGGACCUGUUUCACCUGACAGCUAGACCUCUUCACAUCCACUUAGCCGGGCUGAAACCAAGGUCAUGUAUGGAGAAGAACAGAUGUGCCUUUUUAAAACACAAGCCCUCCUCUGGUUCCCAGUGCUCCUUGGUAACUGGGUGGAAAAGUAACAAGGACUUUAUUUUUCCCCUAAACUUGAGACUGUUUGGGGGCACGGCCAUUCUUAAGUGUUAAGUGAGAGACUUGAAGACCGUCCCGUGCAGCCCAUAAACUUCUCUUGGGACACAGCCCUUCUGGGCGGGACCUAAGUCUCAAUUCCCAGGAAGCCCAGCCCUUGCCAAUUACCUCAGCACCAAGAAAUGGAACAGGGCUGAGUGUAGUCACGUCUGUCCCCAGGUCCUUGCUUUAUUUCCAAGCUGUAUGACCUCAGCCUCUCAAAGUUACCACUAGCAAGGCUGGAAUUUAGUUUUCAUCCCCUCAUCCAUGCUGGGUAAGAACACCUGCUAGAAAAU
rnacentral:lncRNA from 1 species